UAGUUGGUGGGGUAAUGGCUCACCAAGGCGACGAUCAGUAGCGGGUCUGAGAGGAUGAUCCGCCACACUGGAACUGAGACACGGUCCAGACUCCUACGGGAGGCAGCAGUGGGGAAUUUUGGACAAUGGGGGAAACCCUGAUCCAGCCAUUCCGCGUGAGUGAAGAAGGCCUUCGGGUUGUAAAGCUCUUUCAGCUGGAACGAAACGGUACGCUCUAACAUAGCGUGCUAAUGACGGUACCAGCAGAAGAAGCACCGGCUAACUACGUGCCAGCAGCCGCGGUAAUACGUAGGGUGCGAGCGUUAAUCGGAAUUACUGGGCGUAAAGCGUGCGCAGGCGGAUUGUUAAGCAAGAUGUGAAAUCCCCGGGCUUAACCUGGGAAUGGCAUUUUGAACUGGCAGUCUAGAGUGUGUCAGAGGGGGGUGGAAUUCCACGUGUAGCAGUGAAAUGCGUAGAUAUGUGGAGGAACACCAAUGGCGAAGGCAGCCCCCUGGGAUAACACUGACGCUCAUGUACGAAAGCGUGGGUAGCAAACAGGAUUAGAUACCCUGGUAGUCCACGCCCUAAACGAUGUCAACUGGUUGUUGGGGGAGUGAAAUCCCUUAGUAACGAAGCUAACGCGUGAAGUUGACCGCCUGGGGAGUACGGUCGCAAGAUUAAAACUCAAAGGAAUUGACGGGGACCCGCACAAGCGGUGGAUGAUGUGGAUUAAUUCGAUGCAACGCGAAAAACCUUACCUACCCUUGACAUGUCCAGAAUCCUGCAGAGAUGCGGGAGUGCCCGAAAGGGAAUUGGAACACAGGUGCUGCAUGGCUGUCGUCAGCUCGUGUCGUGAGAUGUUGGCUUAAGUCCCGCAACGAGCGCAACCCUUAUCAUUAGUUGCUACGCAAGGGCACUCUAAUGAGACUGCCGG
rnacentral:rRNA from 1 species